AGAACCAAUCCCCCCACAGGUGGCAAAGGAUGACUGUGCCUAAGAUGUACAGUUGAACCGAAUGUUUUGAUUUAUACUAAGCACUUUAUACUACUAAUUAAUUAUGAGAAGUUUAAAUAAAAUCAUAGGUGCUUGACAUAGCAAAUGAUGAACUCCAUAUGAGUGUGGGUUUUUUUUCAGGUUCCUCAUGCCAUGCACCUGCUGUCACCCAGCAUGCACCCUAUUUUAAGGGUACAGCCGUUGUCAAUGGAGAGUUCAAAGACCUAAGCCUUGAUGACUUUAAGGGGAAAUAUUUGGUGCUUUUCUUCUAUCCUUUGGAUUUCACCUUUGUGUGUCCUACAGAAAUUGUUGCUUUUAGUGACAAAGCUAACGAAUUUCACGACGUGAACUGUGAAGUUGUUGCAGUCUCAGUGGAUUCCCACUUUAGCCAUCUUGCCUGGAUAAAUACAC
rnacentral:sRNA from 1 species